GAUGAACGCUGGCGGCGUGCCUAAUACAUGCAAGUCGAGCGAACAGACGAGGAGGUUGCUCCUCUGACGUUAGCGGCGGACAGGUGAGUAACACGUGGAUAACCGACCUAUAAGACUGGGAUAACUUCGGGAAACCGGAGCUAAUACCGGAUAAUAUAGUGAACCGCAUGGUUCAAUAGGGAAAGACGGUUUUGCGGUCACUUAUAGAUGGAUCCGCGCCGAAUUAGCUAGUUGUUAAGGUAACGGCUUACCAAGGCAACGAUGCGUAGCCGACCUGAGAGGGUGAUCGGCCACACUGGAACUGAGACACGGCCCAGACUCCUACGGGAGGCAGCAGUAGGGAAUCUUCCGCAAUGGGCGAAAGCCUGACGGAGCAACGCCGCGUGAGUGAUGAAGGUCUUCGGAUCGUAAAACUCUGUUAUUAGGGAAGAACAAAUGUGUAAGUAACUAUGCACGUCUUGACGGUACCUAACCAGAAAGCCACGGCUAACUACGUG
rnacentral:rRNA from 1 species